rnacentral:rRNA from 1 species
UACAACAGGGAUUGCCCUAGUACGGCGAGUGAAGCGGCAACAGCUCAAAUUUGAAAUCUGGCUCCUUUCGGGGUCCGAGUUGUAAUUUGUAGAGGGUGCUUUGGCGUCGGCCAUGGUCUAAGUUCCUUGGAACAGGACGUCACAGAGGGUGAGAAUCCCGUACGUGGCCGCUGGCCUUCGCCAUGUAAAGCCCCUUCGACGAGUCGAGUUGUUUGGGAAUGCAGCUCUAAAUGGGAGGUAAAUUUCUUCUAAAGCUAAAUAUUGGCCAGAGACCGAUAGCGCACAAGUAGAGUGAUCGAAAGAUGAAAAGCACUUUGGAAAGAGAGUCAAAAAGCACGUGAAAUUGUUGAAAGGGAAGCGCUUGCAGCCAGACUUGCUCGUAGUUGCUCAUCCAGGUUUCGGCCUGGUGCACUCUUCUGCGGGCAGGCCAGCAUCAGUCCAGGCGGCCGGAUAAAGGUCUCGGGAAUGUGGCUCUCUUCGGGGAGUGUUAUAGCCCGGGGCGCAAUGCGGCCAGCUUGGACUGAGGUCCGCGCAUCUGCUAGGAUGCUGGCGUAAUGGCUGUAAGCGGCCCGUCUUGAAACACGGACCAAGGAGUCUAACAUCUAUGCGAGUGUUUGGGUGUCAAGCCCGAGCGCGCAAUGAAAGUGAACGGAGGUGGGAACCCGCAAGGGCGCACCAUCGACCGAUCCUGAUGUCUUCUGAUGGAUUUGAGUAAGAGCAUAGCUGUUGGGACCCGAAAGAUGGUGAACUAUGACUGAAUACUGUGAAGACAGAGGAAACUCUGGUGGAGGCUCGCAGCGGUUCUGACGUGCGUAUCGAUCGU